GGUAUGGUACUGGUUAUGGUUA
rnacentral:siRNA from 1 species